rnacentral:rRNA from 1 species
UACGGGGGGGGCAAGCGUUGUUCGGAAUUACUGGGCGUAAAGGGCUCGUAGGUGGCCAACUAAGUCAGACGUGAAAUCCCUCGGCUUAACCGGGGAACUGCAUCUGAUACUGGAUGGCUUGAGUUUGGGAGAGGGAUGCGGAAUUCCAGGUGUAGCGGUGAAAUGCGUAGAUAUCUGGAGGAACACCGGUGGCCAAGGCGGUUCUCUGGGCCUGUACUGACGCUGAGGAGCGAAAGCGUGGGGAGCGAACAGG